ensembl:lncRNA
GGCCCCUUCUGUGACUUGAUGACUUACUAUAAUUAUUUACUGUUGCCAUGCCUCAGGCCAGGGCUAAUGUUUAUGAAUGGAGACAAUCUUUUUAAAACUAUUUAUUACAAUGUAUCUGCUUUAAAGCCAAAGUGAAGAGUGAAUGAAGAGUGAACCAUUAUGCUGCUAUGUAUUUGAAUGCUUUUUUUUUGUUAACUUUUUUUUUUUUUACACGCCUUUCUCCCCAAUUCCGUGGUGUCCAAUUGGGAGUAUAAAAUAAUGUCAAUGUACAAUUGUCUUGUCUUAUCGCUGCAACUCCCGCACAGACUCGGGAGAGGCGAAGGUCGAGAGCCGUGCGCCCUCCGAAACAACCCAUCCGAGCCGCAUUUGAGUGCUUGACGUAUACAAAAAGUGUAGAUUGCAAUUUGUUCAACGCUUCUUGUUUUGUACUUUGACUACUUUGGAAGUGUUCACAAUAUUUGAUGUAAUACAAUGUAUGCCACCACCUGACUUCUGGCUAUUUGUGUCUUGUCAUUCAAAUCCUAUUUUAUGUAAUUUGCUAGAGGCUAGUACAAUUCACAAGUGCCACAAUAACUACAUUCAUUAUUAAUCUUUCCAUUACCUUCCUCCUGUCUGAAGGCUGUGCAGGGCAGAAAACUGUAAUUUGCUACAGUCAAGAGCCCGACCCCCAGUAGAACUCCAUUGUACCAUAAACAACUCCAAAUGUUACUUUGAGUCAAUUAGAAUAUAAUCUGUUUAAGAAGCAUCAAUAAUUGUGUCGAGUGGAAUGUAGAGUAAAUGUCCACAAUAGGUUUCUAAGGAUCACAGGCCACCACACAGACAAGGUUUAAAUGUUUAGAGUUCUUUACUUCAAAUCUCAGAAGUACACAAUCACAAACCAAAAUCAAAGGUCUGUGCUCCUGGACGAGUGUCCAGGAUGGCCACAGCCAACUCCCGUCGGUUGCUCGUCUGCCGUUGGUUAGUUUCACUGUUGGUAGUUUGGCAGUCGCUCCCUGUCGUCUGUUGUCAUCAAGCGUCUAUGGAACCCAGCCCAUGUCCUGGUUCAUUGCAGGGGGAGAGGAAAACAAGCAUGACAAGGGAGCCAUUCUGAACAGAUGUGUUCGACCACACUCACGUUUGGUCCCCCUCUGGCUGCAAGGUCAUUGGUGGCUGGGUA